CCUACGGGAGGCUGCAGUGGGGAAUAUUGGACAAUGGGCGAAAGCCUGAUCCAGCCAUGCCGCGUGUGUGAAGAAGGCCUUCGGGUUGUAAAGCACUUUCAGUGGGGAAGAAAGCCUUGGGGCUAAUACCCUCGAGGAAGGACAUCACCCACAGAAGAAGCACCGGCUAACUCCGUGCCAGCAGCCGCGGUAAUACGGAGGGUGCGAGCGUUAAUCGGAAUUACUGGGCGUAAAGCGCGCGUAGGCGGUCUGAUAAGCCGGUUGUGAAAGCCCCGGGCUCAACCUGGGAACGGCAUCCGGAACGGGCAGGCUAGGGUGCAGGAGAGGAAGAGAGAAUUCCCGGUGUAGGGGUGAAAUGCGUAGAGAUGGGGGGGAAUACCAGUGGCGAAGGCGGCCUUCUGAACUGACACUGACGCUGAGGUGCGAAGGCGUGGGUAGCAAACAGGAUAAGAUACCGUGUAGUC
rnacentral:rRNA from 1 species